CUUUGGGGUGUGACUGCGUACCUUUUGUAUAAUGGGUCAGCGACUUAUAUUCUGUAGCAAGGUUAACCGUAUAGGGGAGCCGGAGGGAAACCGAGUCUUAAUUGGGCGUUAAGUUGCAGGGUAUAGACCCGAAACCCGGUGAUCUAGCCAUGGGCAGGUUGAAGGUUGGGUAACACUAACUGGAGGACCGAACCGACUAAUGUUGAAAAAUUAGCGGAUGACCUGUGGCUGGGGGUGAAAGGCCAAUCAAACCGGGAGAUAGCUGGUUCUCCCCGAAAGCUAUUUAGGUAGCGCCUCGUGAAUUCAUCUCCGGGGGUAGAGCACUGUUUCGGCUAGGGGGCCAUCCCGGCUUACCAACCCGAUGCAAACUGCGAAUACCGGAGAAUGUUAUCACGGGAGACACACGGCGGGUGCUAACGUCCGUCGUGAAGAGGGAAACAACCCAGACCGCCAGCUAAGGUCCCAAAGUCAUGGUUAAGUGGGAAACGAUGUGGGAAGGCCCAGACAGCCAGGAUGUUGGCUUAGAAGCAGCCAUCAUUUAAAGAAAGCGUAAUAGCUCACUGGUCGAGUCGGCCUGCGCGGAAGAUGUAACGGGGCUAAACCAUGCACCGAAGCUGCGGCAGCGACGCUUAUGCGUUGUUGGGUAGGGGAGCGUUCUGUAAGCCUGUGAAGGUGGCCUGUGAGGGUUGCUGGAGGUAUCAGAAGUGCGAAUGCUGACAUAAGUAACGAUAAAGCGGGUGAAAAGCCCGCUCGCCGGAAGACCAAGGGUUCCUGUCCAACGUUAAUCGGGGCAGGGUGAGUCGACCCCUAAGGCGAGGCCGAAAGGCGUAGUCGAUGGGAAACGGGUUAAUAUUCCCGUACUUGGUGUUACUGCGAAGGGGGGACGGAGAAGGCUAUGUUGGCCGGGCGACGGUUGUCCCGGUUUAAGCGUGUAGGUGUGUGUUCCAGGUAAAUCCGGUUCACUUUAACACUGAGGCGUGACGACGAGGCACUACGGUGCUGAAGCAACAAAUGCCCUGCUUCCAGGAAAAGCCUCUAAGCAUCAGGUAACAUCAAAUCGUACCCCAAACCGACACAGGUGGUCAGGUAGAGAAUACCAAGGCGCUUGAGAGAACUCGGGUGAAGGAACUAGGCAAAAUGGUGCCGUAACUUCGGGAGAAGGCACGCUGACACGUAGGUGAAGUGAUUUACUCACGGAGCUGAAGUCAGUCGAAGAUACCAGCUGGCUGCAACUGUUUAUUAAAAACACAGCACUGUGCAAACACGAAAGUGGACGUAUACGGUGUGACGCCUGCCCGGUGCCGGAAGGUUAAUUGAUGGGGUCAGCGCAAGCGAAGCUCCUGAUCGAAGCCCCGGUAAACGGCGGCCGUAACUAUAACGGUCCUAAGGUAGCGAAAUUCCUUGUCGGGUAAGUUCCGACCUGCACGAAUGGCGUAAUGAUGGCCAGGCUGUCUCCACCCGAGACUCAGUGAAAUUGAACUCGCUGUGAAGAUGCAGUGUACCCGCGGCAAGACGGAAAGACCCCGUGAACCUUUACUAUAGCUUGACACUGAACAUUGAGCCUUGAUGUGUAGGAUAGGUGGGAGGCUUUGAAGUGUGGACGCCAGUCUGCAUGGAGCCGACCUUGAAAUACCACCCUUUAAUGUUUGAUGUUCUAACGUGGACCCGUUA
rnacentral:rRNA from 1 species